AAUGAUGUGUCCAUAUUAAUAUAAUUACAGGCAGCCCUUUCUAGAGGCUCUUCCUGCCUGUGGAUCUGAGGCCUGUGUUCACUUCAGCACAGACCUCGUCCUUAACGAUGAGAUCAGUCAGGAGCACAUCAGUCUCCUCCUCAGCACUGUCGCAUUCACUCCCCGUCCCUCAGCAGCGAUGAUCAGAUACAUCAGCGCUCUGUUCAAGUUGCCCCAGAUUCGUCUGAAGGCGGUUCUGGGGUUAUCGUCACUGGUUCAUCGAAUUUGCCGAAGGGAGCCAACUCCAUGCAGCCAGAUACCUGAAGUGCAGCAGUUUGUGCUUUUUCUGAAAGAGAGUCUGGUUCAGGGCUGUGGGGAGCGGGGGUCCUGGCAGGUCACUGAGCUGCUGUACAUCCUGAAAGCGGUGGAAAACAUCGGCCUGGCUGCUGAAGCUCUCAUCCCUCAACUAAACGACUGCAUUCACAACCAAUCAGCAGCGUUAGAGCUUCGACUAGCUGCAGUACAAGCCUUCAGAAGCAUCCCAUGCACCAGUCCGAGGGACGUUCUUGUUUGGGUGUAUCAGCAACAUCAAGAGAACGUGGAGGUCAGAAUUACUGCAUAUCAGCAGCUCAUGAACUGUCCCAGCCAGGAUGUGUUCAGCAUUAUAAGGAACACCUUAAGGAAUGAGACGUCCACUCAAGGUAAAGGACAUCAGCAUUUAAGCAGCAUUUGUACUACAAUUAUAAUUACCCUGAUGUAAAAGUCACUG
rnacentral:lncRNA from 1 species